AUCACCUGUAGCUCAGAUGGUUAGAGCAUGGUGCUGAUAACGACAAGGACACAGGUUUGAUCCCUAUAUGGGACA